CCUACGGGAGGCUGCAGUGGGGGAUAUUGCACAAUGGGGGAAACCCUGAUGCAGCGACGCCGCGUGGGUGAAGAAGUAUUUCGGUAUGUAAAGCUCUAUCAGCAGGGAAGAAGAAAUGACGGUCCCUGAGUAAGAAGCACCGGCUCAAUACGUCCCAGCAGCCGCGGUUAUACGUAGGGUGCAAGCGUUAUCCGGAUUUACUGGGUGUAAAGGGAGCGCAGGCGGCACGGCAAGCCUGUUGUGAAAGCCCGGGGCCUAACCGCGGAACUGCAUUGGAAACUGACGGGCUGGAGUGCCGGAGAGGUAGGCGGAAUUCCUAGUGUAGCGGUGAAAUGCGUAGAUAUUAGGAGGAACACCAGUGGCGAAGGCGGCCUACUGGACGGUGACUGACGCUGAGGCUCGAAAGCGUGGGGAGCAAACAGGAUUAGAUACCCUUGUAGUC
rnacentral:rRNA from 1 species